GACGGAGGAUGCAAGCGUUAUCCGGAAUGAUUGGGCGUAAAGCGUCCGCAGGUGGCAGUUCAAGUCUGCUGUCAAAGACCGGGGCUCAACCUCGGAAAGGCAGUGGAAACUGAACAGCUAGAGUAUGGUAGGGGCAGAGGGAAUUCCUGGUGUAGCGGUGAAAUGCGUAGAUAUUGGAAAGAACACCAAUGGCGAAGGCAGUCUACUGGGCCAUUACUGACACUAAGAGACGAAAGCUAGGGGAGCAAAUGGG
rnacentral:rRNA from 1 species